GUGUUGAAUGGAAGGAGAGAUAGUUAGCACUCCCCUCCACAAGGACGGAAUGUAUCAUCAGCACAAAUGGCGGUUACUGCCUACAUUUGCAGUAACCGCCACUUUUGU
rnacentral:ncRNA from 1 species